CAACAGACCAUUUUUAUGGGUUGUAAGGCCAGAUAUUACCACUGAUGCAAAUGAUAGAUACCCAGACGGAUUCCAAGAGAGAGUUUCUGCUCGAGGACGGAUGAUCGGCUGGGCACCUCAGCAGAAGGUUCUUAACCAUCCUUCUAUUGCCUGUUUCCUGAGCCAUUGUGGUUGGAAUUCCACCAUGGAAGGUGUUAGCAAUGGCAUUCCUUUCUUGUGCUGGCCAUAUUUUGCUGAACAAUUCCUGAACGAGAAAUACAUUUGUGAUAUUUGGAAGGUGGGAUUGAGGUUUGACAAAAACGAAAGUGGCAUCAUUACAAGAGAAGAAAUUAAGAACAAGGUGGAUCAAGUGCUUGGUCAUCAAGAUUUUAAAGCACGGGCUUUGGAACUCAAGGAAAAAGCCAUGAGCAGCAUCAGAGAAGGUGGUUCCUCUCGCAAGACAUUUCAGAAUUUCCUUGAAUGGGUAAAGACAAACGCCCUGGCACAUAAUUCCCCAGUAAUGGGCGGUUAAUUCAAAAAAUACUACCUUCGUAGACAAUUAUAGAAGGAUACCUUGGCCAUUGUAACAUGCAUUUUUUUCAGUUUUUUUAAUUAAGUCUAUAGGGUUUAGGAAUAUUUUAUUUAACUGAGUUUUAAUUUAAUUUGUUUUCCUAUGCAGUUAAUUUUUUUCAAUGCAGACAAUGAAUGUUAUCAGUUGUUACUAUAGUGUGAGGAGUCAGUCUCUUAAGAAACAAGCGAUUCAUUUGGCACCAAAUAUGCCUGCAAUGAACAGCGCAGAUCUUUUUUGGGCCUGCUUUAAUUUGGCGGCAUAACUACCCAUGCACUGCAGAUUUUGCAUAUUAUAUCCAGUUCAAAUAAACCAAUUCUGCCUAUUUCCCGCGGGGAGCCAAGCCAAACUGGAUUAGCGUCUCUUGCAUUUUAGAAGAGGAAACAGAAUUGAUGCCAUCCUUGUAUUGCCUAUUUUAUGGAUCACUCAGAAACAUUUGUUUAUUUAGUAUUAGCUUAUGAGAAGAUACUAGUGAGAUUUGUGGCUAAAAAAGCUGAGAUAGGAUGCUGGUGUGGGAGGAGACUAAGCCUAAAAGUAGCCGAUACAAUAUUUAGAUCAGGCUCGAAAUCAUGUUAUCGUUUCUUUUUAUUUUAAGAGGAUGACAUACCUCUUGUUCCCUCAUCUCGUGCAAUAUUUAUUGAGAUUUGAGCACAAGGUAAUCAACUUCUAACCUUCUAAUUCAAAGUAAAAAAAGCAAUGGCUGCCUCUUACCAUACUCGCUCAAACAGCUUUCCACAAGAUCGCACUCAAAGACUUCAGAAGUUGAAGAGCAUUUGUAAAGAUUAAGGACUUCUCAAGCUGUUUCUACUUCAUCAUUAGGCCAUGAAUUAAAUUGCCUUCAAGAUUCAUGCGAUUCUGUUGAAAAAAAAAAACACUUCAAUUGCCCCUCGUUCAACAAGCUUUAGCCAACGGCCACCAGAAGAAGAAAUGGGUUGAUGAGCUGUUAAAUGGAUCUUUUAUGAUCUUGGAUGUUUGCAGCACUGCUCAGAACGCCUUGCUCCAGAUGAAGGAAUCUACACUGGGAAUUCGAUCAUUGCUGUGCAAAAGAAGGGAUGAGGAAAAUUGAAAUCAUAUGAAACACUUUGAUCAGCAUGAGUUGUAGCAGAAUGCGAUGCUAAAAUUGGCAUUGCCGUUAAAGAGAGAAGACAAAUAAGUUAAAAAGAAUGAGACUUACACAUAUAUGUCUGGCCAAUUCAGCUCCUUUUUUUAACUUCACAAAGCAACCUCCAAAUUGGUACUAAUAUGUGAAUAUGGCAGCAGCGGUGGCAGCAGAAAGAAAACAUGAGGUUCUAAGUGAUGAUGAAGGAAUAUCGGUAUCAGUAGAGGAUCAGAAAGUGAAUGAAGACAUGCCUGAGGCACACGAUGCUGCAAUGAAAAUUGAGAGGUCCGAGGGAGCUUAUAUGGCCUACUCAGGGCUGCGAGAAAAGCCAUCGAAGCUUGAAAUUUGGACACUUCAUUGUUACAACGGUUGUGCCCGUUGUUUUUCCUCUCAUCAUCAGUGAAAUUGUCUCUAAAAAUGAUGAUGAUGAUGAUGAUGAUCAAGGUUGGCGACAAACCCCUAGGGGCAUUGCUUGUAUUCUCGGAGAGAUCAAACUGUAAGUUCUUUUUCUAGCUACAUCGAUUGUUACUUAGUAGAAUAUUCAAUCAAAAUUCUAUAUAUACAAAGCACAUGAGUGUAAUUUUCACAAAAAAUUGGAUUAAAGAUCGAAUUGAUUCCAAGACUGUUAAAGAGUAAAAAACGUAAAAGAUGCAAUUAUGCAUAUUAAUUUUAUUAUGGGAGAAUGAAUUUCUCACUCUUAAUUACCAUUUGGCUCAAAAUAUUGACAAGAAAAAAAUAUUGUUUAAGUGAAUGUGAAAUUUUCAUAUACAAAAUGAUUAUAUUGAGAGAUUUAUAGAUUAUGCUAUUAAAAAUUUAUCGGAACCCAAAGAACAAAAACAACUUCUUAGACCUUAGUGGGAAUAAAGUUUCAUUCAUUCUCCUUUAAUUAAUUCAUUAACUCUUACUCUUUAUUUAUUAUUACUUAAACUUGAGUGACCGCGGGUAUAAAGCGCAUUCAUGGCCAGUUAAACUAGACAGAGGGUCAGUUUUGAAUGUGUCCAUAUUUAGCAUGAUGAAAUAUUUUUCAUAUAUUGGAGGUAUGAUUGACUAACACACACAUCAAUAUCAACGAAUAAUCUGAAUCUAUCAGCAAUGGAAUGGACUUCAAUUUCUAGGGCUGCAACUGCCAUCGGUUCCCUCUUUUGUCUCCAUGUUGGCUUCAUUAAAACCCCAUGCAUCUUCCCAUUUUAUAUUGCAGCUAUUGUUGCAUUAUACAUUGUUGCUUCAGCCUCCCACACUCGCCAUCUUGGUCUUAUGGCUCGCGGCUACACUGGACCAACACUUAAACUUAGCCAAUCCCCAACUAGAAGAGGGGUCUCAGGCUGGUUCUCGGUAUACGCCACUGCUGGUGGUGGCUUAGGCUCUGCCAUUUUCUCAUCAUUCACUUACCAUAUGCUUAGGAACACAAAGGGCCCAUUUGUUAGCCUCUGGAUUGUGUCCAUUUUCAGGGUCCUCAAAUGGCUCGUUGGCAUGCUCCAUAUUGUCACACUGAGCCAGGGGCAAUCACCAACGCAACCUCCUCUAUGCCCGAAUCAUAUUGACUGUCCCUUUUUAAAAAUCCUCAUGCAAUUACAAGCCUGAUUGUAAUUUUCAUGUCAUGAUUUUCAUCAAUGUGCAUUUUCACUGGGGCUAUUUUUUUACUUUUCCUCUACUUAUGGAUAAUUUACUUCAUAUUACCAUCAUCUUCAACGACACUACUGCAUCCGUUACAACAUGUUAUCAAAGCAGAUGCUGUGAGAAUGCAAUUUCUGGGUUUCCUCUUAGCUCUGUUGACUUCAGGUACGGGAUUCUACUCCAAGGAAAGAACUGGCAGAGGCACCAUGUACUGCUUUUUGCUGCAAUUCAAAGCACUUCUGCAGGGCUUUUGCAUGCUUUUGGGAGAGUUUUGUUGCUAGAUUGUACAUCACAUGGCAAAGAAGGUGCUUUUUCUGUAUGGCACUCGUGGGUAAAAGCACUAGGAACUUGUACUGGCUUUGCUGUGGCAUCAGCGAUCAGUGGAAAUGUGAGCACUGCUUUUGGGGUUUCAUUUUUGGCUGCCACGAUCGGGGAUUCUUAUUGUGAUUUUUGGGGACAUCAGUGAUGUUGGUGGAGACAUGGUUGCUGGGCAUUUGCAUGAAGCGAGUGAGAAGGGAUCCCCAGUGCCUGGUUUAGAUACUAGCAUUAUUAUAAAGGAACAUGCUCAUGAAGAAAUUGCUUAAGUAAUGCAAGUGAACUUUCGCAAUUAGUCAAAUCCGUUAUCCUAUAUAAGUAAACUAGGAGUGGAGCUAGGGUCGGCUAAUGAGUAAUGAUGCCUUUGCUUUCAUUUUCUUUUUUGGCUUAUUAUCUUUUCAUAAUUACAAAACUAACUUAUUUACUUUGAAAAUGUAUUAACAAGAUUUUUGAAUUUUAAUGGAAAACAAGUAAUUAUGUUAAAAAUGUCAUUUAUUAUUCUAUUCAUUUAUGACCUGAUUAGUAAACAAAUUUUAAACGAAUAAUUGAAUUAGUGAACUCAAACCUGGGUUUGAUCGUUUAUUUAAUGAAUCAAAAUAAAUUUGCUUAUUUAUUAAAUAAAUUAAUAAUUUCAUUCCUUUACAUAUUUAAUUUGAUUCGAAUAGAAUUGAAAUAAAAAUCCUAAGCUAGAGUAUCACCCAUAAUUAGGGUCGGCAAAAAAGUAUGGGUUGGACCUAGCAUCAUAAAAUCAUGGAUAUGGCUAAAAAAUUUAAAGCUCACUCGGGGUUAAAGGCUUUUGGAAAAAGUUUGGGCUCUUUAAUUUAUAAAUUAAAAAAUCAUUUUUAAUUGAAAGAGUUAAAUUUCUCGUUCCAUUCUGGAUUAACAUCAUUUUUAAUAAACAUGAGUCUUAAGCUUCUGUGUAAAUUACAAUGCAUAAACAUAAUUAAUAUCUAAAAAAUAAAUAAUUUUAAUUUACAAUAAUAAUUAAUAAAAAGAGAGAAAAAGGAAUAAAGAAAAAAAAUACAAAUAUUUGCUUAGAGGUGACUGGUUCAGGCCCAUUCAAGGGAGCAAUUAAUAUUUAUUUUGUUUAAUAAUAAUAAUCAUCUUAAUUUAAAUUUUUUUAACAUACAACUUAAUUAAAAAUUUAUUUAACAAAAUUAUUGAAGUCCCAAGCCCAAGCCCGUUCAAGUUGGAUGAACAUUCACAGGACCUGAACCUCAUAUCGAUUAUAUGGAUCUGAUCUUGAGAAAACCCGGCCCAAACCUAUAAAUUGCCAACCCUCCCCGUAAUCAAAACCACUCGUGUGUUGCAAAUUAAAAUAUUAUAUAUUGAGCAGAUGCUAGUGGAAGGAUGUGAAAAAUUGUUUUAGUUACCUUAUUUAGUUAGGACUUGACUAGCUUACAGAAUCUGUAAGCUACAGACUGCAGCAUCAGCCGUUGGAUGUGGCUGGAUGUGGAGUGAGAAACUAAACAAUACAAAAUGGGAUGGUGGGAUGACGGGAGAUGUUCGUUACAGAAUCUGUACCAUAGAUAAGAAGAUAACCACUAACCAGAAAAGUUAUUGUAGACAGAGCAUUAAAAAUUGGGGUCCAGAAAAGUUGGAGCCGAGCAUCCUGCUUUAAACGUUGGAUCUAACGGCGCAGUUUGUUCAAAAGCAAACAUAUCACCCAAACCGCAGAAGGAAACAAAACAAAGGGGUGAACAAAAAGAACUUAAAAACGGGAGAUAAGAAGAUAACCACUAACCAGCUUGAGGUUCAAAAUUAAACACAUAUAACAUACUACUUGUACGAAAAGAAAGACAGAAAACCGAACAUGGGCUGCUGAGCUGCUCCUCACAAUCCCUAUAAAAGCACAAGGUUGAUAGAAACCAAACCAGUGAGGUAAAAAUAAAAAAGGAAAUGAGCAGCCCACACGUUUUGGUGAUGCCUGGUCCAGCACAAGGCCAUGUAAUUCCUUUACUGGAGUUUUCACAAUGUCUGGCAAAACAUGGCUUCCGAGUCACAUUCGUUAAUACGGAUUAUUAUCACAAGCGGGUAGUGGAAUCAUUGCAGGGAAAGAAUUAUCUAGAGGAGCAAAUCCGUUUGGUUUCGAUCCCAGAUGGGAUGGAACCCUGGGAAGAUAGAAACGAUUUCGGAAAGCUAAUUGAAAAUUUUUUACAGGUUAUGCCGGGGAAGCUGGAGAAGCUCAUAGAAGAGAUCAACAGUAGAGAAGAUGAAAAAAUUGAUUGUUUCAUUGCAGAUGGGAACAUGGGUUGGUCUUUGGAGGUAGCAAAAAAGAUGAACGUCAGGGGGGCUGUCUUUUGGUCUUCAUCAGCAGCAUUAGUGGCAUUGGUAUUUUGUAUCCCCAAACUUAUUGAUGAUGGAAUCAUUGACAGUCACGGUAUAAUUCCAUGUCAUUUAAUUCUUUACUUUCCUCCAUCAAACUUUAAUUUUGAUGCAUGUCAUAGUAGUAGUUUACUUUAUGCUACUGUUAUUUUCUUUGUUUUGUAUUCAACUUCAGGAACUCCUAUGAGCAUGCAGAUGUUUCGAAUUGCACCAAAGAUGCCUGAAAUGAACUCUAGAGACUGUUUUUGGGCACAUAUUGGUGACUUGACCACGCAAAAGAUUUUUUUUGAUUUACUGGAAAGAAACAGGAGAGCAAUGAUGGCGGUAAAUUUCCACUUUUGUAACUCAACAUAUGAGCUCGAGUCUGAAGCAUUCACCAUGUUUCCGGAACUUCUGCCAAUAGGACCACUUAUAGCAAGCAACCGCCAAGGGAAUUCAGCAGGAUACUUCUGGCGCGAAGAUUCAAACUGUUUGAAAUGGCUAGACCAACAGCAACCAAGCUCUGUCAUUUAUGCUGCUUUUGGCAGCCUUACAAUUCUUGACCAAGUUCAGUUUCAAGAAUUAGCAUUGGGACUAGAACUUUGCAACAGACCAUUUUUAUGGGUUGUGAGGCCAGAUAUUACUACUGAUGCAAAUGAUAGAUACCCAGAAGGAUUUCAAGAGAGAGUUGCUGCUCGAGGACAGAUGAUCAGCUGGGCACCUCAGCAGAAGGUUCUUAACCACCCUUCUAUUGCCUGUUUCCUGAGCCAUUGUGGUUGGAAUUCCACCAUGGAAGGUGUCAGCAAUGGCAUUCCUUUCUUGUGCUGGCCAUAUUCUGCUGAUC
rnacentral:lncRNA from 1 species